CUUCAGAUGGUCAGUCAACUAGGGAGAUAGCUAUUCGUUCUGCUCCCACAGCAGGUCAGACCUCCACCUGUCUAGCAGUGCAUCUGAACAGGCUACGGCAUCUGAACUUUAGUUAGGUAGCCUGGGAAAACAUUGGUACGCGAUCCUGUGGACUGGAACUGAGUCACGGCCUGGUUUCAGUAUGAAAUCAGUAACCAUCUGGAAAAUGACCCGACGGUGGCUUCAUUUAGCGGCAGUACCUUGAUCCUGGUGGAUCGACUGGAACCAGCCGUGAUAGAGAGGACUGGUGUAGCGGGACAGGUGUUGGGGUAGAGAGGACAGGUGUAGCGGGACAGGUGUUGGGGUAGAGAGGACUGGUGUAGCGGGACAGGUGUUGGGGUAGAGAGGACUGGUGUAGCGGGACAGGUGUUGGGGUAGAGAGGACUGGUGUAGCGGGACAGGUGUUGGGGUAGAGAGGACUGGUGUAGCGGGACAGGUGUUGGGGUAGAGAGGACAGGUGUAGCGGGACAGGUGUUGGGGUAGAGAGGACUGGUGUAGCGGGACAGGUGUUGGGGUAGAGAGGACUGGUGUAGCGGGACAGGUGUUGGGGUAGAGAGGACUGGUGUAGCGGGACAGGUGUUGGGGUAGAGAGGACUGGUGUAGCGGGACAGGUGUUGGGGUAGAGAGGACUGGUGUAGCGGGACAGGUGUUGGGGUAGAGAGGACUGGUGUAGCGGGACAGGUGUUGGGGUAGAGAGGACUGGUGUAGCGGUAGAGAGGACAGGUGUUGGGGUAGAGAGGACAGGUGUAGCGGUAGAGAGGACAGGUGUAGCGGUAGAGAGGACUGG